rnacentral:rRNA from 1 species
GACGAACGCUGGCGGCGUGCUUAACACAUGCAAGUCGAACGGAAAGGCUCCAGCUUGCUGGAGUGCUCGAGUGGCGAACGGGUGAGUAACACGUGGGCAAUCUGCCCUGCACUCUGGGAUAAGCCUGGGAAACUGGGUCUAAUACCGGAUAGGACCUUUCUCCUCAUGGGGUUUGGUGGAAAGUUUUUCGGUGCAGGAUGAGCCCGCGGCCUAUCAGCUUGUUGGUGGGGUAAUGGCCUACCAAGGCGACGACGGGUGGCCGGCCUGAGAGGGGGAUCGGCCACAUUGGGACUGAGAUACGGCCCAGACUCCUACGGGAGGCAGCAGUGGGGAAUAUUGCACAAUGGGCGAAAGCCUGAUGCAGCGACGCCGCGUGAGGGAUGACGGCCUUCGGGUUGUAAACCUCUUUCAGUAGGGACGAAGCGCAAGUGACGGUACCUGCAGAAGAAGCACCGGCUAACUACGUG